GACGAACGCUGGCGGCGUGCCUAACACAUGCAAGUCGAGCGAGUGAAUCUCCUUCGGGAGUGAAGCUAGCGGCGGACGGGUGAGUAACACGUGGGCAACCUGCCUCAUAGAGGGGAAUAGCCUUUCGAAAGGAAGAUUAAUACCGCAUAAGAUUGUAGCUUCGCAUGAAGUAGCAAUUAAAGGAGCAAUCCGCUAUGAGAUGGGCCCGCGGCGCAUUAGCUAGUUGGUGAGGUAACGGCUCACCGAGGCGACGAUGCGUAGCCGACCUGAGAGGGGGAUCGGCCACAUUGGGACUGAGACACGGCCCAGACUCCUACGGGAGGCAGCAGUGGGGAAUAUUGCACAAUGGGGGAAACCUUGAUGCAGCAACGCCGCGUGAGUGAUGACGGCCUUCGGGUUGUAAAGCUCUGUCUUCAGGGACGAUAAUGACGGUACCUGAGGAGGAAGCCACGGCUAACUACGUGCCAGCCGCCGCAGUAA
rnacentral:rRNA from 1 species